AACGAACGCUGGCGGCAGGCUUAACACAUGCAAGUCGAACGGGCGUAGCAAUACGUCAGUGGCAGACGGGUGAGUAACACGUGGGAACCUUCCUAGGGGUACGGAACAACUCAGGGAAACUUGAGCUAAUACCGUAUACGUCCGAGAGGAGAAAGAUUUAUCGCCCUUAGACGGGCCCGCGUCGGAUUAGGUAGUUGGUGGGGUAACGGCCUACCAAGCCGACGAUCCGUAGCUGAUCUGAGAGGAUGAUCAGCCACACUGGGACUGAGACACGGCCCAGACUCCUACGGGAGGCAGCAGUGGGGAAUCUUGGACAAUGGGCGCAAGCCUGAUCCGGCCAUGCCGCGUGGGUGAAGAAGGCCUUAGGUUUGUAAAGCUCUUUUGGCAGGGACGAUAAUGACGGUACCUGCAGAAUAAGCCCCGGCAAACUUCGUGCCAGCCGCCGCCGUAAAAC
rnacentral:rRNA from 1 species